rnacentral:rRNA from 1 species
AUCCGAAAGGUGCAAGCGUUGUUCGGAUUUACUGGGCGUAAAGAGAGUGUAGGUUGUUUAUUAAGUCGGAUGUGAAAUCCCGGGGCUCAACCUCGGAACUGCAUUCGAUACUGGUAGACUAGAGUUCGGGAGGGGUAAGCGGAAUUCCGUGUGUAGCAGUGAAAUGCGUAGAUAUACGGAGGAACACCUGAGGCGAAGGCGGCUUACUGGACCGAUACUGACACUGAGACUCGAAAGCGUGGGUAGCAAACAGGAUUAGAAACCCAAGUAGUCC